AGUGAACGCUGGCGGCAGGCCUAACACAUGCAAGUCGAACGGCAGCACAGUAAGAGCUUGCUCGUACGGGUGGCGAGUGGCGGACGGGUGAGGAAUACAUCGGACUCUACUUUUUCGAGGGGGAGAACGAAGGGAAACUUACGCUACUACCGCAUACGGCCUGCGGGCGAAAGAAGGGGAUCUUCGGACCUUGCGCGUUUGAAUGAGCCGAUGUCGGAUUAGCUAGUUGGCGGGGUAAAGGCCCACCAAGGCGACGAUCCGUAGCUGGUCUGAGAGGAUGAUCAGCCACACUGGAACUGAGACACGGUCCAGACUCCUACGGGAGGCAGCAGUGGGGAAUAUUGGACAAAGGGCGAAAGCCUGAUCCAGCCAUGCCGCGUGGGUGAAGAAGGCCUUCGGGUUGUAAAGCCCUUUUGUUGGGAAAGAAAAGCAGCAGGUUAAUACCCCGGUGUUAUGACGGUACCCAAAGAAUAAGCACCGGCUAACUUCGUG
rnacentral:rRNA from 1 species